GACGGAUCAGAGGAUGUUGAUUCACCCUGGUUAUUAAGGAGGCAGCUUGAUCUCUAGCGGAAGCGCUUCCUGCCAGGAGAGAUGACAUGUGAGCCAGCAGAGAGAGUUCUCCAAGUGAACCUCCCACCGCCGUGGCCUCCCGCAAACCAACCCUGUCCUCCUCCACAGCAGAACUUCCGGCAACUUCAGCAGCAGCUCUGGGCCAUUUCCGGUCCCCCCUGGGCUCCCUCCUCUCACUCCACCCCCAAGGUGCCCUUGAGGAGGCAGAAACGCCAGGUGACCCUGAUGGCCAGUCGUGGGCUUGGGUCUGUCUGAAAUUACAGUGACUUCUUUCUGGUCAGGAUGUGGGAUCUAAAAAGCAAAAAUUAGGGGAUGAUGCUUCAUUGAAAAGAUCCAGCUCGGACCCCAGGUCAGCACAGCAGACGGUCCCCACGUGGACUUGCCCUCCAGUCCCUCACCCGUGACAGACACCACUGAUCCAUCACAGCCCUGCUUCCCAUGACCAGGAUUAGGCCAGUCUUUCCAGGACCCAGUCCAGGCGGUCACUCAGGUAACGGUGCCCAGCGAGACCUCUUUCUCUUACCAGAGCUCGGCUAUGCUUUGUUCAUUGGAAUAGGAACUUUUUCCCCUGUAAUGAAGAGAUUGUUCCUAUGAUCGUGGGACUCUCGAGAAUCUGCCAUCAACCUUGACAUGAACUCAUCUCCAGCAAAUCUGGCUGGUGGGUGACCAACCCCAGCUGGACCUACUUGCUCAUGAGGGAGCUGCCAGACGAAGACAGUGACAGGUUCAGGGAUCCACAGAAGAAGGGGCAUCCUCACCGAGGGUCAGUGUGCCUCAGGCUUUUAGCCUGUGUCCACUCACCACCGCUUGCUGGUCUGAAGCAACACUGGCCGUCUUAGGGAAGGUGCUGGGCGGGAGCUGGGUGGGAAGGCUGUGUGGCCCUGGGCUCUGGUCUCAUGGGAGAGCCACUGCAGCCCCCCUCCUGCAGCUGGGAGAAGAGGGAAGAGUGGGUGGCGUCUGCAGCUAUUGAAGGAGCGUGAUCACGUUUCCCAAGAUCAGGAUUCAUGCCCACGGCAGGACCCUCUGUUCUGAAGCACAAGCCGUGGAGACAGGGGGUGGGUUCUGCUCGCCGCCUGCGGCCUGGGCCUCCACACACCUUGUUGGGCAGCGAAGGCCUCACGGGGCCUCUGUGAUGCUCUCAGCGGGCAGCACCUGAGACCUGGACACAGGCUGGGCCCCCAGGGGAAGGCCCCAUGGCUGCAGCCCACCUGCCUAGUGGAUGAGGUGGCACCCAGGUCUGUCAACUGUGUCAGAGGCUUCUCAAGUGCCAGCAGCUCGAUGACCUUCAUCGCCCUUCGUCGGGUCUUAUCUUCCUCCACUGAGGCUGCGAGAGCAAAUACCGUGGACUGGGCAGUUUGGACCAUGGACAUUAUCUCCCACAGUCUGAGGCUGGGAGUCCAAGAUCAAGCUGCUGGACAAUUUGGAUCUUGGUGAGGGCUUUCUCCUGGGCUUCCAGACCCCCCUCAUGCGCACCCUCACACGUGCAGGGAGGAGCCAGUCUCUUCCUCUGUGUACACACAAUAAUCCUG
rnacentral:lncRNA from 1 species